rnacentral:rRNA from 1 species
UACGAAGGGGGCUAGCGUUGUUCGGAAUCACUGGGCGUAAAGGGUGCGUAGGCGGGUCUUUAAGUCAGGGGUGAAAUCCUGGAGCUCAACUCCAGAACUGCCUUUGAUACUGAGGAUCUUGAGUUCGGGAGAGGUGAGUGGAACUGCGAGUGUAGAGGUGAAAUUCGUAGAUAUUCGCAAGAACACCGGUGGCGAAGGCGGUCUGCUGGGGUCGAACUGACGCUGAGGCGCGACAGCGUGGGGGAGCAAACAGG